AUAUGUAUAUUAUCCUCUGUGACAUGUCAUUCUUUAAUUGGUUACUAUAUUAACUAUGGUUAAACUAUUGAUAAUUAAAUUAUAGUCCAAAGUGGGUAAUUAUAUAAUUUACUAAAAUAUAAAAAUUCAAUCUUUGAUUCUUCACCAAAUCUGCUCCCAGACAAUGAACCCUAAUCUUCUGUAUCUCCUCUCCCGUUUCGGCACUGUCGUCGUCACCCGAGCAUAACCGUGUCAUUGGCCUCCCCUGUUCCGGCACCGUUGUCGCCACCCGAGCAUAACCGUCUCAUUGGGUGCCCCAUUCCCUCCGUCUGUCGUGCCAUCUCCGUGCUCGAAAGCAUCGCCGCCGCCAUCGUCACAAGCAGCGCCGCCUUCCUCACGAUUUCAAUUCAGAUGACGUAAAUGCUUUGAUCUCAUUGAUUUUUUUAAAGGACUUGCAAGUUGCCGAUGAAUCUUUAGCUAUUGCUGCUUCAAGUAUCCUUCCUCCUUGGAAUUACUUUCGUUUUCUCAGAUUCUUAGGUUUGCCCCCGCCCCCUCCCCCCAAAAAAAACACCAAAGAAAAGGGAAAAAUCAUAUAUGUUUUGUUGACUAUGUUAUUCUUUGUAAGCAAGAGUAAGAAACAGAGGUUGGUUCCUUGACUAGUCUUACUUGUUCAUUCUUUUAUCUUAUUAGCUCAGGCAAUCACUCUAUCAACAUGUAUAGUUGCUCACAACAAUGCAUUGUUCGCUUUGCUGGUGUCAAAUAAUUUUACUUAGAUAAAAAAUAAUGUGUUUAAGCGAUACAGCAGGGACAAUGUAUACAAUUUGGUUUACUUUGACUUUAAAUAUGCAAACUGAGGGUGUGAAGAAAAAUCUUACUUUUGUCCCACUUGCUCCAGCAUCUCUGUGGUUAUUCGAGUGCUGACUCCAGUUUUUGCUGUAAACAUUCCUCCCAAUCCCCUUCGAUGGAGGCUUUUUUGGAUUCUGCUUUUUACAGCAAUGACCUAUGUUAUGCAGUUAUGCUUACAAGCAUUAAGGUCUUUGUUGGGUUGGGCCUACAGAAACAUGCCACCUGGUAUGUUAACCGGAGGAGGAAGCACCAUCUUCAUGCAGAUUAGGUUAAAAGGAAAAAAAUUUCUGUCUCAGGUCAUGGUACUUCGCCAUGAAGGCCUCCAUGCAUGUGCCCGCAGAUCAUCUACGAGAUGACCACAGGCAGAUGAUUUGACAAGUCGAUUCUCAAAUCAUCAUUGAUAACUAGCAGAUACAGGAGAAAAUUCUUGUUCAAUCUCUUGGUUUUUCAAACUUAAGAUGAGCCAAUGAUAAAACCUUGCAAUUUUGAUAUCAGGAUGAGGCAUAGUUUGAUGAAGAUACAAGGUUUUAUAGGCUGCAUGAAUCCCAUCCCUUUAACCUGCAGCAGAUCAGAGUUUCUAUAGUUCUAUACCCCUCCAAUUCAUACAUUGUCAUAUUGGAUCAUACCAAUUGCCUUCAAAGAAAAGUUAGUUUCACACCCUUUAUUUUGACCUCUUUCCAUAUGCCAGAUAUACACAGAAGCAACAUACAUGAAGUGCUAUUUGUUCUUAUAAAAUGUAAGAAUUUCUACUUUCAUUAUGCUUAUUAUAGGCGCAAUUAAAAUCCCCAGGUGGGUUCAUAAGAAGUCUGAGUUUUUGUGCUUCGUGCAUCUAAUGUAAUUGUGAUAGUAAUGAUUACCAUGGAAGUUGGCCUUGAAGAAGAUGCAUUUAAAUGAU